rnacentral:rRNA from 1 species
ACAUAGGGGGCAAGCGUUGUCCGGAAUCACUGGGCGUAAAGGGCGCGUAGGCGGUCUGUUAAGUCGGAUGUGAAAUGUAAGGGCUCAACCCUUAACGUGCAUCUGAUACUGGCAGACUUGAGUGCGGAAGAGGCAAGUGGAAUUCCUAGUGUAGCGGUGAAAUGCGUAGAUAUUAGGAGGAACACCAGUGGCGAAGGCGACUUGCUGGGCCGUAACUGACGCUGAGGCGCGAAAGCGUGGGGAGCAAACAG